CAGUUCCCUUUAGGAAAAUCUUAUUAACAUUCACAAAAGAAACAAUAAUGUGCCACAGAAGCCAUAUGAAAUUCUGCUGAAGAAAAUGUCACGCUAGGAAUAGAGUGAAUAAUGAUGACUGGAGGUUUCAAAGGCAGACGACUGGUAUGGAUGAGGAUUGCAAGGAGUUCAGGAAAAGAGAGGUUCCUGCUGCCAAGUAAAUCUCCCCCUCAGGGUGGAAAGCUGUCAUCCUGCCUCCAUUAGGAUUUCCCUUCCCUUCCCUUCUCUUCUGCCUAACAUUGAUGAACAUUCAAACAAUGCUCUUUAAACAACUUUGCAGGUCCAAUAAAUGUCAGACAUUUGCAUUUGUCCUGAAGACUCUGAGCUGGCUGCUGCAAGAAGGGUUUGAGUGACACCUGGGAGGUUGCUCAACACCCAUUUUUCUUUUCUUCAGCCUCUGCCGUCAGAUCCAAACUGCUCUAAACAGGGAGGCUGAAUCAUGCAAUGAAUUUUCCACCCGAAGGGAUAGGGGGAGGGAAUUGUUUUCUCCAGCUUCUUUCAAAGCUGGAUGAUAAAUAACUCUCCUUUUUGCAUCAGACCUCAUCACUUCAGCAAGGAGAGCACCCAGCUUCCUGCAUUGCAGGUUUCAAAGGGGGCAGUUUCUAAGCCAUGUCUUGCAAAGCUUAGCCUAGAAAAAAGAGUGGAUAGAGAUGGGAUGCUCUGUCCAUGUCAGAUAAUCCAGAUAUCCACCAGGCAUCUCUGGUGCUGCCUAACAUCUUCUGUGGGUCUCUCCAACCUCUCCCCCCAUUGAAUCCUUUAAUUGAACUAAGCCUUCACCUUUCCUACUCCACACACAGUGUUUCCUGGAGGUUUUGGUGAUUUUUAUUUUUUUUCCCCAAGCAUCCUCUUGGACAUGAUGGAAUAACUCAGCUCCAGCACUGUCUCCCCUUCCAAAAUUUGGACAUAUAUUCAUCUUUGCUAUGAAAUCUGAUCUUUUUACUCAAGUUAAUUCAGAAGCAGGAAAUGUAAUCCUUCAAAAAGCCCAGAUUGCUGAAAUUGCCUCUGCUGUCUAGAAUACAUUAUAUAAGGACAUCUAAACUCAGAAGGUCCUGUCUGUUUUUCAGUGUUUUUACACAUACAUUCUUUUUUCACAGUCUUGCUGUUAUGUGGUAAUUGAAAGGACAAAACAAAACCAUCCAGUCAUCUUUCAACAUCUUAGUCCAACUGCCCAGAUUACCACAGAGUCCCUAAUCUUCACCUGUACCUUGGCUGAAGGCUAACACAUCAUUGGAAAAAAAGUGAAACUGUGAAAUGUGAAUUCCUUGUAUUAAGAAAAUAAAUGCAACACUACUUAAUUAAUUCCGUCCCUCUCACAAGGAAAAAGAAAUAAAUAUUUAUAAGCAC